GAUGAACGCUAGCUACAGGCUUAACACAUGCAAGUCGAGGGGAAACGACAUCGAAAGCUUGCUUUUGAUGGGCGUCGACCGGCGCACGGGUGAGUAACGCGUAUCCAACCUGCCCACCACUUGGGGAUAACCUUGCGAAAGUAAGACUAAUACCCAAUGACGUCUCUAGAAGACAUCUGAAGGAGAUUAAAGAUUUAUCGGUGAUGGAUGGGGAUGCGUCUGAUUAGCUUGUUGGCGGGGUAACGGCCCACCAAGGCGACGAUCAGUAGGGGUUCUGAGAGGAAGGUCCCCCACAUUGGAACUGAGACACGGUCCAAACUCCUACGGGAGGCAGCAGUGAGGAAUAUUGGUCAAUGGGCGAGAGCCUGAACCAGCCAAGUAGCGUGCAGGAUGACGGCCCUAUGGGUUGUAAACUGCUUUUAUAAGGGAAUAAAGUGAGUCUCGUGAGACUUUUUGCAUGUACCUUAUGAAUAAGGACCGGCUAAUUCCGUGCCAGCCGCCGCGGUAA
rnacentral:rRNA from 1 species